GUGAGGAAUAUUGGGCAAUGGGCGAAAGCCUGACCCAGCCACGCCGCGUGAGUGAUGAAGGCCUUCGGGUUGUAAAGCUCUGUGGGGAGGGAAGAAAAAGCGGGAGAGUAACUGCUCUCGUGUUGACGGUACCUCCUUAGCAAGCACCGGCUAACUCUGUGCCAGCAGCCGCGGUAAUACAGAGGGUGCAAACGUUGCUCGGAAUUACUGGGCGUAAAGCGCGUGUAGGCUGACAUGCAAGUCGGGUGUGAAAUCCCAGGGCUCAACCUUGGAACUGCACUCGAAACUGCACGUCUUGAGUACUGGAGAGGGAAGCGGAAUUCCGGGUGUAGAGGUGAAAUUCGUAGAUAUCCGGAGGAACACCAGUGGCGAAGGCGAUUAACUGGACGGGCACUGACGCUGAGGCACGGAAGCGUGGGGAUCAAACAGGAUUAGAAACCCUUGUAGUCC
rnacentral:rRNA from 1 species